UCCCGUUGGGACCCAAUGAGAUGAUAGUGUCAGCGUUCCAAAAGCCACAGUAGAGUUCAGUGUUCAGGUCCAGUGCAUGACGCAUGUAAAGCAUACGUAUAUGAUGGGUAUCAUGAUGUUAUUGUGAUUCAGAGAAGAGAAUACGGUUCAGGUUUCAGGUUAUGAAACUAUUCGGCCAAUUCGGCUGACAAUUUACGUUGCCACAUAACGUUGUUUUGGACGUGUGAUAUUGUUUUGCAUUCGUUUAGAUUGAAUUUCUAAUAUGCCAAAAGUUGUUUCAAGGAGCAUAAUAUGUUCCGACACGAAAGACCAAGAAGAAUACAGCGAGGAAAAACCUUUGCACAUAUAUUACUGCUUAUGUGGUCAAAUGACACUUAUAUUAGAUUGUGAUAUUGAAAAGUUACCCCUGAGGAAAAGGGACGGCGCAAGAGUGAUAGAUGGAAGCAAACACGCGCAUAAAAUGACCUGCGAACGAGACGAAACAGUCUAUUUGAAGCGACACGAGGGAAUUGAACGGCAACACAGACAAAAGUGCAAAAAAUGUGGUCUUUUAUUGUAUUACAAACAUGAGCCUGGCUCCAACAUAGUCUUCAUAGUUAAAGGAUCAGUAAUCAAGAGUUCCGGAGAAGGUCCAAUGACGGAUAUUUACAAUCAAGUAGCCAUUGAAAAGCCCAAAAAAAUUAUGGUCACCAAGCAUACAAAAAAUAUGGGCAAAUUCAGUUCUGUCACAGUCUCCACUAUUGACGAAGAAGAGGAUGAAAUUGAAGCGCGCGAAGUAGCGGAUUCGUAUGCAAACAACGCCCGUAUCAUUGAAAAACAACUCGAGAGAAAAGGCAUGAACAAACGGAAACCAAAUAUGCCGGCUCCUACAGUUGAUACCAAACGAUCAAGACCCAGAGGGACUCUGUUGGAUGUUUAACUUUGUCCCGACAAGCCAAAUACAUUCAGCAUCUCUGUUCAUUCGUGUCAAGUUUAAAUAUAUAUUUAUUAACAUUACAUAAACUACGGAUAAACUAUCGAUAACAACGAGAAAUAAAUGGCGAAUAACUGGCCGUAUUAGCGGGACCUACCUACCAACUGUAUCUCGUUGGGUAUACAGGCUACAACAACUACACUUGACACGUGGAACAACUAUUAUGACAGUUUUUCAUAUAUCAAUGUAUAUUCGGAAUUGAGAUACCAGAGAAGACAUUUCUUGAAUCGCUUUAA
rnacentral:misc_RNA from 1 species